AUGUGAGGGUGAUCUCGCUGUGACAUCUGUCACCCCAUUGAUUGCCAGGGUUGAUUCAGCUGAUCUGGCUGGCUAGGCGGGUGUCACCUUCCUCCCUCACCCCUCCAUGUGUAUCCCUCCCGAAGCUGCAUGCUCAGUGGAAGAGGACAUUGUCCCAGGUAUAGAAGGAGUGUACCGAGGUCUCCAGUCUUCGGCCCCAGGUAUACGAUAGCUGCGCUCCCCUGCUAGAACCUCCAAACCAGCUCAAGCUAAGACAUAUAUCUUUUAGGCUAGUUACACUUUUAAAAUGUAACUUU
rnacentral:snRNA from 1 species